GACGAACGCUGGCGGCGUGCUUAACACAUGCAAGUCGAGCGGUAAGGCCCUUUCGGGGGUACACGAGCGGCGAACGGGUGAGUAACACGUGGGUGACCUGCCCUCAGCUCUGGGAUAAGCCUGGGAAACUGGGUCUAAUACCGGAUAUGACUCCACGGCGCAUGUUGUGGGGUGGAAAGCCUUGUGUGGCUAGAGAUGGGCCCGCGGCCUAUCAGCUUGUUGGUGGGGUGAUGGCCUACCAAGGCGACGACGGGUAGCCGGCCUGAGAGGGCGACGGCCACACUGGGACUGAGACACGGCCCAGACUCCUACGGGAGGCAGCAGUGGGGAAUAUUGGACAAUGGGCGAAAGCCUGAUCCAGCCAUGCCGCGUGAGUGAUGAAGGCCUCGGU
rnacentral:rRNA from 1 species